GAAAUUAUAAUUAAAAUCAAUAUUUUACUCACUGUGAUGGCUGGGUGGAGGAGAAAGGCUAUCCUAGCUCACUUGAUAAUUACAUUAUAAUUAUUUAAUACAAUUGACUUAAUACAAGCUUAAAAAAAAACUAAAGACACUAUAAGUUAUGUCAAAAAUUCAACAAAGUUUCUGCUAUACUUAGAACCUAUCCAACAUGCAAAAGGGUUCAAAAGAUACUUUUAUAUCCACAAGUCUCACAACUACAACUCAAUCACAUCACAUGGCCCCUCUUGGGCCCAUCCAAACAGUCAAUAACCAUAAUUUUAGAAAAUUACAAUUUAGUCCCUACAACUAAUCCUUUUUGCAAAAACUACCCAAAUGAGCUCUAAAAAUUCUAAAAUUCUGCCCCGUGGUCCUUAGCAUUAUUACUAAGCUAAUGCAAAAGGA
rnacentral:misc_RNA from 1 species